rnacentral:rRNA from 1 species
AGUGCGUAAUAGCUCACUGGUCGAGUGGUCGUGCGCCGACAAUGUAGCGGGGCUCAAGCACACCGCCGAAGCCGCGGAUCCCCAGCGUUGAUCCUCCCAUGCCCAUGUUUUGUGUGGGUGUGGCAGGGGUUGGGGGUGGUAGGGGAGCGUCCUGCACUGGGUGAAGCCCGGGGGUGACCUACGGGUGGACGGUGCGGGAGUGAGAAUGCAGGCAUGAGUAGCGAUGACUAGGGUGAGAAGCCCUAGCGCCGAGAGACCAAGGGUUCCAGGGCCAGGCUAGUCCGCCCUGGGUGAGUCGGGACCUAAGGCGAGGCCGACAGGCGUAGUCGAUGGAUGACGGGUUGAUAUUCCCGUACCGGCGAAGCACCGACCAUGCUGACGCGCGGGUGCUAACCCACGCCUCUGCUGCCACGACAAGCCGCGGUCGUCUCCUUCGGGGGGUGGUCGUGGUUGUGGUGGCGGGUGGUCUGGGGGUCCUCCGUGCUGGUAGGCAAGCGUGUUAACAGGGGUGACGCACAGUGGUAGCCCGGCGGGCCUAAUGGCUUGGCCUGUUCAAGCGCGCAGCCCGGUUCCUAGGUAAAUCCGGGGACCGGCCCCACGUGUGGGGCGGGGGUGAGGCGUGAUGGUGACCGGUAGCCGUGUGCUGCUGGGAUAACAGGGUGAUCCUGGGGUGCCGAGAAAAGCCUCGACGCGAUGGUCUAAGCCGCCCGUACCCGAAACCGACACAGGUGGUCCGGCAGAGUAUGCCUAGGCGAACGAGUGAACCGUGGUGAAGGAACUCGGCAAAAUGCCCCCGUAACUUCGGGAGAAGGGGGGCCCGAACCCUGAAACGGCUGGCCCGUUAGGGGGGUGGGCCGCAGAGAGCAGGGGGGAGCGACUGUUUACUAAAAACACAGGUCCGUGCGAAGCCGUAAGGCGAUGUAUACGGACUGACGCCUGCCCGGUGCUGGAAGGUUAAGAGGAACCAUCAACCCCCUUUUUGUGGGGGUGAAGUGGUGAAUUUAAGCCCCAGUAAACGGCGGUGGUAACUAUAACCAUCCUAAGGUAGCGAAAUUCCUUGUCGGGUAAGUUCCGACCUGCACGAAUGGCGUAACGACUUCCCCACUGUCUCCACCACGGGCUCGGCGAAAUUGCAUUACGAGUAAAGAUGCUCGUUACGCGCAGAAGGACGGAAAGACCCCGGGACCUUUACUAUAGCUUGGUAUUGGCGUCCGCCAUGGUUUGUGCAGGAUAGGUGGGAGACUGUGAGACCGCCACGCUAGUGGUGGUGGAGUCAUUGUUGAGAUACCACUCUGGCUGUGGCGUGCGCCUGAACCUCGGCCCGUGAUCCGGGUCAGGGACAGUGCCUGGUGGGUAGUUUAACUGGGGCGGUUGCCUCCUAAAAAGUAACGGAGGCGCUCAAAGGUUCCCUCAGCCUGGUCGGUAACCAGGUGGCGAGUGCAAGUGCACAAGGGAGCUUGACUGCGAGACCGACACGUCAAGCAGGUACGAAAGUAGGAACUAGUGAUCCGGCGAUCCCGUGUGGAUGGGUCGUCGCUCAACGGAUAAAAGGUACCCCGGGGAUAACAGGCUGAUCCUGCCCAAGAGUCCAUAUCGACGGCAUGGUUUGGCACCUCGAUGUCGGCUCGUCGCAUCCUGGGGCUGGAGCAGGUCCCAAGGGUUGGGCUGUUCGCCCAUUAAAGCGGUACGCGAGCUGGGUUUAGAACGUCGUGAGACAGUUCGGUCCCUAUCCUCUGCGCGCGCAGGAGACUUGAGAAGGCCUGUCCCUAGUACGAGAGGACCGGGACGGACGAACCUCUGGUAUGCCAGUUGUUCCGCCAGGAGCACGGCUGGUUAGCUACGUCCGGACAUGGAUAACCGCUGAAAGCAUCUAAGCGGGAAACCAUCUUCAAGACCAGGUCUCCACACACCAGCUGGUGUGGAAGGCCCCCAGCAGACCACUGGGUAGAUAGGCCAGACGUGCACGAUCGGCAACGAUCGAAGCUGACUGGUACUAACCGGCCAACACAACACACACC